CGGGCGUCUUAACAUGCAAGUGGAACGCAUUAAUAUCACCGGAGCUUGCUCCACCGCUAUUAAUGAGUCGCGAACGGGUGAGUAACGCGUAGGUAACCUGCCUGAUAGCGGGGGAUAACUAUUGGAAACGAUAGCUAAUACCGCAUAAAGAACUCUAACACAUGUUAGAGAUUUGAAAGAUACCAUUGUAUCACUAUCAGAUGGACCUGCGUUGUAUUAGCUAGUUGGUAGGGUAGCGGCCUACCAAGGCAACGAUACAUAGCCGACCUGAGAGGGUGAUCGGCCACACUGGGACUGAGACACGGCCCAGACUCCUACGGGAGGCAGCAGUAGGGAAUCUUCGGCAAUGGACGAAAGUCUGACCGAGCAACGCCGCGUGAGUGAAGAAGGUUUUUGGAUCGUAAAGCUCUGUUGUAGCGGAAGAACGAGUGUAAGAGUGGAAAGUUUACACAGUGACGGUACGCUACCAGAAAGGACGGCUACU
rnacentral:rRNA from 1 species